UACAGAGGGUGCGAGCGUUGUCCGGAAUCACUGGGCGUAAAGGGCGCGUAGGCGGCUUCUUAAGCGUGUGGUGAAAGCGCGGGGCUCAACCCCACGUCGGCCGUGCGAACUGGGGAGCUGGAGCACGUCAGAGGCAGGCGGAAUUCCGGGUGUAGCGGUGGAAUGCGCAGAUAUCAGGAGGAACACCGGUGGCGAAGGCGGGUCUCUGGGCAGUAACUGACGCUGAGGAGCGAAAGCGUGGGGAGCGAACAGG
rnacentral:rRNA from 1 species